CGUGUGGGGCGCUUCCGCGCAGGCGCGGUGAGGCCUGUCUGACCGACCUUCAGCGGGGCCGGAAUCACCAUGUUUUCUCCGGUGGGCCUAGCAGGGCUGUCGGCCUGGGCCGUGCAGCCGCAAUGGAUCCAAGUUCGAAAUAUGGCAACCUUGAAAGAUAUUACCAGGCGACUAAAAUCAAUCAAAAACAUCCAGAAAAUUACCAAGUCUAUGAAAAUGGUAGCAGCAGCGAAAUAUGCCCGAGCUGAGAGGGAGCUGAAACCAGCCCGAGUGUAUGGAAUAGGAUCCUUGGCUCUGUAUGAAAAGGCUGAUAUUAAGGUGCCUGAAGACAAGAAGAAACAUCUCCUUAUCGGUGUGUCCUCAGACCGAGGGCUUUGUGGUGCUAUUCAUUCCUCGAUUGCUAAACACUUAAAGAGUGAGGUGGCCAAUCUCACAGCAGCUGGGAAAGAAGUUAAGAUUGUUGGAGUUGGUGAUAAACUCAGGAGUAUACUUCACAGGACUCAUUCUAACCAGUUUCUGGUGACAUUCAAAGAAGUGGGGAGAAGGCCCCCUACCUUUGGGGAUGCGUCGGUCAUUGCCCUUGAACUGUUAAAUUCUGGAUAUGAAUUUGAUGAAGGGUCUAUCGUCUUUAACCGAUUCAGGUCUGUCAUCUCCUACAAGACAGAAGAAAAGCCCAUCUUUUCCCUUGGUACCAUUGCAAGUGCUGAGAGCAUGAGUAUCUAUGAUGAUAUUGAUGCUGACGUGCUGCAGAAUUACCAAGAAUACAGCCUGGCCAACAUCAUCUACUACUCUCUGAAGGAAUCCACCACGAGUGAGCAGAGUGCCAGGAUGACGGCCAUGGACAAUGCCAGCAAGAAUGCUUCUGAGAUGAUUGACAAAUUGACUUUGACGUUCAAUCGCACCCGCCAAGCUGUCAUCACCAAGGAGCUGAUUGAAAUCAUCUCCGGUGCUGCGGCUCUGUAAGUAACUGUGCGUCACCCUCAGACUCCGUGUCUCAUCUGUGCCUGCUAGUUUAGCCUUUGCAUGUUUAAGUUUUCUGUUUUGUUUUGUCUGUUAACGAUGAAAUGAAGCAUUGCUUAUCUUGUUUCCUUAAUCGUAGAACAUAAAGUUUGAUGAAAAUGAGAUCUCUGGUGUAUUUUGAUUGUUUCAGCUGAAAUAUUCAGGCUUAGUUUCUUCUUUUUAGAAAUUAGUAUAUUGCUAGCUUUCACUUUCUUCAAGUUUUAGGAAUAAGGACGUGAAUAAUUCAGUAUCAUUUAUACUGAAUGAUAAAUAUUCAGUAUCAUUUAUAAAAUCUGUCUUUGAACUUAAAAUAUUAUAAAUCAGGCUUUCUGAGUUCCAGGACUGGUUUGGGGUUUGGUUUUAUAUAAAUCUGCAGAUCAUUGAAUGGUGGUUGGGUCCAGGAAUUUUUAAAUUAAGUUUUCUGUAUCAGUACUGUCUUAUAAGGAGUUCUUAAAAUACCACUUUCCUCAAGAAAAUGUCUUGGUUGUCUAGCUAGAUAUGUUAAUGUUUGUGAAACCACGGUUACGAUAAUGGGAAUUCUGUUUUAAAAAUUAUUAAAUUGAACACCCAUUAUAUGCCUCAUACAGUGCUAGGCACGGUGUUAAAGGAUGUGAUCCUUUCUUCCAAGGCAUUUAUGUGCUAAUAGGAUACGAAAAAAAUGCAGAUAAUUAUGCUGAAAGAUAAAAUAUGUCAUAAGUUUUCUUUGACUCAUUCUCUCUCACCUCCUGCUAAUUGGUCACCAAGUUCUGUAAAUUUUGCCUUCUAAAUAUCCCUUGACCCUUUCCCCUUUAUGCCCUCUUCACGCAGAUCCUUGUCAUUUCUCUCCCAAAUUAAAAAAUGUAUUUUUUGAGUGGCACGUAUGUUUUUUUCCCUGAAAUGCCAUCUUUCCCCUGCACCCUUGAUUGUACAUCUGACUCUGUUUAUCCUUCCUAACGGAGCUGGGGUAAUCCUUUCUUCCAGAAAUCCCCCCUUCCUGGUUUGAGUGGGGCAGCCUCCUAUGCUUCCCUUCAUCAUAGCACUUACACUGUUUUACUAGGAAUUGCCCUUCUGUUUGUCUGUCCUCCUGCGGCUUGGGACAGGGAGUGUCUCGUUCAGUCUUAUAGCCCCAUCACCUGGCACAUACUUCCUCAGUAAAUAUUUGUAGAGUGAAUGAAUGACGUGCCAUGAAUAUUUACAUUUUUUUAAAUAUAUUUAUUUGUUUUAUUUUUGGCGGUGUUGGGUCUUUGUUGCUGUGCACGGGCUUUCUCUAGUUGCGGUGAGCGGGGGCUACUCUUCGUUGCGGUGCACGGGCUUCUCAGUGUCGUGGCUUCACUUGUUGCGGAACGUGGGCUCUAGAGCGCAGGCUCAGUAGUUGUGGCGCACGGGCUUAGUUGCUCCGCGGCAUGUGGGAUCUUCCCAGGCCAAGGAUGGAACCCCUGUCCCCUGCAUUGGCAGGCGGAUUCUUAACUACUGCGCCACCAGGGAAGCCCGCCAUAAAUAUAUUAAGACCUGGCAGUUCAGCAGAGAGAGAAGUAACAUUUUAUUGGGUAUGUGAAAACGUGAAUCCAAGUUUAAGAAUCAGGGAAAGGUUUAUCACUACGAUGACAUUUAAGUUGGUCCUUUUGUCUCUGGAGGAUAGAAAUGGGCAGAAUGCCAGAGACACAAGUAAACUGGUUGAGACUGUUUUAUAAGUGUUGGUUGGAUCCAGCAGGCUUCCUUCUCUUAUUUUGUUUUGGAGCGUGAGUUUAAGACUAAUCCACCUCUCAGCCUGGUCACUACUGCUCUGUUAACAUCAGAGUCCAGUGCAGUGAUGAGCGGCCCUCCUGCUUACCAGCUUGAUAGACGUGGUUAAGAUACUCUCCCUUCAACGCAGUUGUUUUCUAUGACACGGGGGCUGAUACAGGGAUUAAAUAAGUGUAUUAUUCAUGUCCUCCUUGCUGUACUUCCUACUGCUGGAGCCACGCUGACUUCUUGGGUGGCGUGCAUGCAGAGGCCUGGGGGAAAGUUUGGACUGCGCUCUGAAGGUCUGGGAGCUGUGAGAUGUGGAGAGCCAGGAAAAGAGGAAUGAAUGCUCGGAAUAGACGGAGGCUACAGCCUCUGCAGAAUUGAGGACCAGGCUCUUUCUUGAUUAGGAAUGCGGGGACUUGGCUGAAAAGUAGCAAAACCAGAGAAAUGAGGAGAGGGAGAUUGGGAUAUGAAGACCAAGAAUUUUAAAAAGAACUCAAAUAACUGGAAAUUGACUAGUUUUCGCUUUCUAGAAAGGCAGUCUAAAUCAUUUAUUGCAAGUUAGCUGUGCACCUCACGGUGGAUUAUUUAUAUGAAUGGACUUGCAUGCUCUGUAACCUGUCAGCUCUUCUGCUUAAAGGCUUUAAGGCAAACACAUUUGGCUCUUUGGUAAUAAUAUAAAAGGCAUGAAUAAACCAUAAUAUUUGAGGUACCAAAUAUUUAGUUGCUAGCCUAAAAUUUUUUAAUAUAUUGUAUGCUGUUUAUAGAAAAGUUGUUGUUUAAAGUAUGCUUUCAUAGUCCUGCCUACUUGCAUGAACAUGGUUUUAUUGCUUCUAACCAGAUUCAAGUCUAUGACCUUUUAUAACAAUCAUUGAACUCUGUUUUAAGGGAAUAUUUUGGUAAGUAUUUAUAUGAUAUACUCAAGGUAGUGAGUGAGGAAGUGGGCUUUUUUAGUCAGAAAUUGUAAGUGAUUAACUAGCAUGGAUUGUUUCUUGACCUGCUUGUUUUGUGUUUGUCUUUUUCUUCUAAUAUAAUAACCCAGGGACUAAUGAAAUUCGAGUUUCAUCCUCAGACAAGAGGUAAAGAAGAUUCAGCCAGCUGAUUUUGUUUUUAGCUUACUGCUGUCCUUGUCAGAAGAAAUUGUUGGUCCACUGUUUAAAUUAGUAAAGACAGCGAGAUAUUUGUAAAUUAUCUUACAAUAAAUGACUCACCAUAAGAAAAUCACUGUCUUUUCUUAUUAUAUGAGAACAGCAGUUUUCCAAAUGAGAUCUUAAAACACUUAAAAAUAUUAACAUGCUACUAUUAAGAAGAUAGUUGAAGAGGCUCCUCUGAUUUUCUGGUUGCCUAACAGCUGUGGAAGGCCUGGCCUCCGUGGGGUCAGAGUGGAAGGAAGAGGCACCAGGCCACAACCCCAGCCCAGGCACCUGAGCGCCACACCUUCAUAGAACAGCCAGCACAGGGAAGCAAAUGCGCUGUCCAGGUCAUCUGCUGUUUCUCACGUGCACGGUGUAGAAUUUCAGGCAUAUACUAAAUCUAAAUAAAUUUUUAAAUCUUUUCCAAGGACUGAGAAACAUUUCAGUAGGAUAUUUACUCCAUAUUCGCAUUUAGAUAACCAUUAAGAUUGGGCGCGUGAGCUAUUCCACACAGCGAGCUGGCCGUGCCAAACAAAGUGUCAGGGUUUUUUCCUAUUUAUUUAAAAGAUGGCUUAGGGGUUUUUAUUGCAAAAGUAGUAUAGGAAUUACAGAAGACUGUAGAACUAUAAAAAAAUACAGAGCCCAUUCUCACUUAACACUUUAUAUUACUCUUUUUAAAAACAUUAAAUAAAUACAUGCAUAUGCUAUCAUUUUGCCAAUAACUAUUCAUAAAAAUGAACAAUAAGUGAUACAAAAAUGGAUUAGCAACCACAAACCUGUAAAGAGCAGUGUUGCCACUUUAAGAAGAAGGCUGCCAGGGAAAGAUAAACGGAACAGAAUCUCAGGGUCAUUUUCUAGCUUCCCUGAAAUGUUACAAGAGGCAUUUUGAUUUCUGAGCCUUUGUGACAUUUGUUUUUCUCUGAAGGCUCAUAGGUCUUUACCUGUGUUGCUCUGAAAUGUCACAAGGAUAAUUGUUAAUAAGCAUCCUUGGGGAAGUGUUUGCACACUUGGACGAGUACUUCUGUGUUCUUAAUUUUUGGAAGUGGAAUCAAUGACUCAGGCUAUGUACAUUUUUUAAUUUAAUAGACACUGCCAAAGAGCUCUCAAAAAAGGUGGUAAACUUGGGCUAAGUGUAUAAAAUUGAUUUCCUCUACUCGCUGAGACUGUCUAUCUUUUAAUCUUUAAUGAUCUGAUGGGUGAAAAGACAAUAGACUACUCAUUCAUUGCCCAUUUUUUUAAGUGAGUUUUUUUCUCAUUGAAACAUAAGAGUUCUUUGCCUAUGAGUGACAUCAGCUCAUUUGUGUUGCAAAUUAAUUUGUGUUAGAAAGUUUGCACUUCCACUACUUUCUUGCAGAUGCAGCAUGGGGUCUUGAGAAAUAAAACUAAGCAAGGAUUUAACUUUACCAGCCACACGAGUGUUCGAUGUAUAGAGCAGUGGUUAAGAGCAUAAACUUGGGGCAAACUGGGUUGGAAUCCCAGUUUAGCCCUUAACCAGCUGUGUUGACAUUGGGCAAGUUACUUAAUCUUUCAGUUUUAUCAUCUGUAAAAUGAUGAUUAAAAUAGUACUUACCUCAUAGGGUUGUUAUGAGGACUAAAUGAAUCAAUAUUUGCAAAAUACUUAGAAACUGAUGUGGGACGAAUGCUGUAUCUGUGAUUAAAUGUUGCCUGAUCUAUGUAAGUGACCAUCGGUUCAGUAUUGUGUUUCUGAUGUUCUGUGUAUCAGCACUCUUAAAUUCUGAAGCUACGAUGAUGAUAAUUAUACUUCCCUAUAGGAGCUUACCAUCUGGAGCAAAGACAAGCAAAUAAUGAAAAAAAAAACGUGGUAAGGUUUUUUGGUAAACUGUUAUUGAAGUAUAGUGUACGUACAAAAGAAGGCAUAAUUCAUAAGUUUAUGGCUCAGGAAAAUUUGCAAAGUGUGAACACUCAUGUAUCUACAAUCUAGAUCAAGAUCUAAAAGGUCCUGUCGUUACAGAAGCCUCCCUUGUGUCCCUGCCCUUUUUGUUAUCUCCACAAAAGUACCCACAAUCAUGACUUCUAUCACCAUAGAUGUGUUUUGAUUGUUUUUGAAAUUUAAGUAAACGGAAUCAUACAGAUGAAGCCUUUGGGGUCGGCUUUUUCUUAAAAUUCAACAGUAUGUCUGGGAGACUUCAUUCACAUUUGUAGAGCAGUUUUUUUCAUCGUUUUAUGUUACCACACGUGAUAAAUAUCUUAGAGUUUAGUAAUUCUGUGGAUGGACGUUGAGGUUAUUUCCAGCUUGGAACAAUUAUAAAUGCUUCUCUAAAUCUUUUGUGCACCUCUCUUGGUUUCAAUUUGAAAGAAUUUCUGUUGUGUACAUACCUAGCAGUGGGAUUGCUUGGCCAUAGGUUCUGUAAAUGUUGCUUUGGCACUGCCAAACACUUUCACAGAGUGGAUGUAUUGAUACCAGUUUAUACUCUUCCUGGCAGUUGUCUACAUCCUCAUCAACACUAGGUAUUGUCACCCUUUUUCAUUUUGCCAUACUGGUAGGAGUGUAGUGUUAUAUAAUAAUACCUUUAACUUGCAUUUCUUUGAUGGCCAAUGAGUGGGGUUAAUCAUGCAUAUUGGUUGUGUGGAACUUAGAUAUUCUCUUUCCAAAAGUUCCUGAGCAC